rnacentral:rRNA from 1 species
UACGGGAGGCAGCAGUAGGGAAUCUUCCACAAUGGACGAAAGUCUGAUGGAGCAACGCCGCGUGAACGAUGAAGGCUUUCGGGUCGUAAAGUUCUGUUGUAAGGGAAGAACAAGUGCCGCAGGCAAUGGCGGCACCUUGACGGUUCCUUGAGAAAAAACCACGGCUAACUACGUGCCAGCAGCCGCGGUAAUACGUAGGUGGCAAGCGUUGUCCGGAAUUAUUGGGCGUAAAGCGCGCGCAGGCGGCCUCUUAAGUUUGAUGUGAAAGCCCCCGGCUCAACCGGGGAGGGCCAUUGGAAACUGGGAGGCUUGAGUAUAGGAGAGAAGAGUGGAAUUCCACGUGUAGCGGUGAAAUGCGUAGAGAUGUGGAGGAACACCAGUGGCGAAGGCGACUCUUUGGCCUAUAACUGACGCUGAGGCGCGAAAGCGUGGGGAGCAAACAGGAUUUGAUACCCUGGUAGUCCACGCCGUAAACGAUGAGUGCCUAUUUCAGGGUUUCCGCCCUUCAGUGCUGAAGCUAACGCAAUAAGCACUCCGCCUGGGGAG